UCUCAUCAAAUGACAUAUUUAAAGAUAAAUUAAUUAAAUACAGAAAAGAUGAAGUGCCCUGGGGGCCAGAGUCCAGACAAGUAUUUUGGCACCUCCAAGGACUCGCAGAACACAGAGAGGAAAAGAGAGACCCUGUUAUCUUUCCGCAGGGGUGGCCGUUCAAACUCUCAGAGAUGGAAGUUAAGAUUUCCUUUGGUAUAAGUGGCAGUUUGACUGGCUGCAAGGAGAGCCUCAGUUUGUUUAAUUUGGAGUAAAAUUUUAUGAGUUAAUCUCUAGUGAGGGAAAGCAGCAGUAAACACAGAACAUACUGG
rnacentral:lncRNA from 1 species